rnacentral:snRNA from 1 species
CUCCUCAAGUUGCAGCAAAUAUACUAAAAGCAAAACAAUACAGAGAAGAUUUGCAUGGCUCCUGGGCAAGGAUGACACAAAAAUUUGUAGAGUGUUUCAUGUACAU